rnacentral:rRNA from 1 species
GGAAAGGUGAAAAGAACCCCGAACAGGGGAGUGAAAUAGAACCUGAAACCAUACGCUUACAACCGGUCGGAGCAGCUUCGUGCUGUGACGGCGUGCCUAUUGAAUAAUGAGCCUACGAGUUACUAAUCACUGGCGAGGUUAAGUGCACGGAUGCACGGAGCCGAAGCGAAAGCGAGUCUGAACAGGGCGUUUAGUCAGUGGUUGUAGACGCGAAACCUUGCGAUCUACCCUUGAGCAGGUUGAAGGUUGGGUAAAACCAACUGGAGGACCGAACGAAUAAGCGUUGAAAAGCUUCUCGAUGACUUGAGGGUAGGGGUGAAAGGCUAAUCAAGCUGGGAAAUAGCUCGUACUCCCCGAAAUGCCUUUAGGGGCAGCGUUGUAAUUAAGAGUCUACUGGAGGUAGAGCUACUGAUUGGAUGCGGGGGCUUCACCGCCUACCAAAUCCUGACAAACUCCGAAUGCCAGUAGUAUGAUUUACAGCAGUGAGCGACCGGGUGCUAAUGUCCGGUCACAAAAGAGGAACAACUCAGACCAGCAACUAAGGUCCCCAAGAGUAUGCUAAGUUGAUCUAACGAUGUUUUGUUGCAGAGACAGCUAGGAUGUUAGCUUGGAAGCAGCUAUUCAUUCAAAGAGUGCGUAACAGCUCACUAGUCGAGCGGCAAAGCGUGGAUAAUAAACGGGCAUCAAGUAUACCACCGAAGUUCUGGGCACGAAAGUGCGGUAGGGGAGCAUUCCAUUCCGCGUUGAAGCCGAACCGUGAGGUUUGGUGGAGUGUAUGGAAAAGCAAAUGUAGGCAUGAGUAACGAUAAUGCGGGAGAGUAACCCGCACACCGCAAGACCAAGGUUUCCUGAUCAACGCUAAUCGGAUCAGGGUUAGUCGGGUCCUAAGGGUAAGCCGAACGGUGAUCUCGAUGGACAAUCGGUUAAUAUUCCGAUACUAACAUAUACCUCGAUGGAGAGACGAAGGAACGUAAGUGCCGCCACCUGACGGAAUAGGUGGUUAAAGGGCGUAGGUAUAGGGGCAGAUUAAGAGUUAGUCCUUGCUGAAACCUGACAGUACAGAGAGCCUACGGGCAAUUUGAUAGUGCACCCAAGUCGACUUCCGAGAAAAUCUUCUAAGUUAUAGUAUAUGUCACCCGUACCGUAAACCGACACAGGUGGUCGAGGAGAGUAUCCUAAGGUGCUCGAGUGAAUCACGGUUAAGGAACUAGGCAAAUUAACCCCGUAACUUCGGGAAAAGGGGUCCCUAUGAAAGUAGGGCGCAGCGAAGAGGUCCAGGCGACUGUUUAUCAAAAACACAGGGCUCUGCAAAUUCGAAAGAAGACGUAUAGGGCCUGACACCUGCCCGGUGCUGGAAGGUUAAGAGGGGAUGUCAUCGCAAGAGAAGCAUUGAAUCGAAGCCCCAGUAAACGGCGGCCGUAACUAUAACGGUCCUAAGGUAGCGAAAUUCCUUGUCGGGUAAGUUCCGACCUGCACGAAUGGUGUAACGAUCUGGACACUGUCUCAACCGUGAGCUCGGUGAAAUUGUAGUCCCGGUGAUGAUGCCGGGUACCCGCAACGGGACGAAAAGACCCCGUGAACCUUUACUAUAGCUUAACGCUGAAUUUGGGUACACAAUGUGUAGGAUAGGC